GACAGAGGGUGCAAACGUUGUUCGGAAUUACUGGGCGUAAAGCGUGCGCAGGCGGUUUUGUAAGUCUGUCGUGAAAUCCCCGGGCUCAACCUGGGAAUUGCGAUGGAGACUGCAAGGCUAGAAUCUGGCAGAGGGGGGUAGAAUUCCACGUGUGAGCAGUGAAAUGCGUAGAGAUGUGGAGGAACACCGAUGGCGAAGGCAGCCCCCUGGGUCAAGAUUGACGCUCAUGCACGAAGCGUGGGGAGCAACAGG
rnacentral:rRNA from 1 species